AUGGAACCCUGCGCAGACGGGGAAGCCUUAGCAUUGAAUGGUUGUGUUGUUAAAAUGCAAAGUAUGGAACCCUGCACAGACAGUUGGCCAAUGCGACUUAAGCAACGUGCAGUCAUUGAAUUCUUGACAGCAGAAGGUGGCACCCCAAAGGAGAUACACCAGAGAAUGCAAGCUGUUUAUGGGGAUUAUGUUGAUGUGAGUCCUGUGCAUUGUUGGGCGAGUAAGUUUAAAGAUGUUGAAGUGGGAACAUCUGACUUGCGUGACAAACAAAGAGUUGGACGUCCUGUGACAGCAACCACAGAGUUUCACAAGCAAAAGGUUGACAGUCGUAUCACUCAGAGAGGAAUUUCAAGCAUCAUUGGCAUUUCACAAGAACAUGUGGGUCACAUGAUUGCUUUGUUUGGCUAUCAGAAGAUCUGGCAUGAUGGGUUACUGUGAGAUGCUGGUUGAGGAAACAGAGUGUCGACUUCUUCCAUGAAGGCUUCAGAAAACUUGUUCAUCAUUGGCAGAAAUGUAUCCAAUUGUCUGCCGCUUGCGUCCUCAACCAGCCGGUCAGCCCUUUCCGCAGCUGCGCAUCAUCACCAAAACGCUGCGUUGCCAGCCACCACCCACCACAUUCUAAGGAUUAUUUCUGCGUUUGAUUUAUUAAAAUAUUCCCAUCCAAACCCAAGUAACGAUGGUGGAUGCAUUACUUUUCAUUCAACCCUCAUAGUUUAGUAACUUUAACAAUUCAGGGAUGGAUUUACCAUCAGACAUACACAGAAGCAAAGACCCCCAGCAUUGAAGUGAUGCUCCUGCGCCUUCAACUCUGCUGGACUGGCCACAUUCUCCGAAUGCCCAGUCACUUUCUCCCAAAGCAGUUACUGUACUUCCAACUCAAGAACAGCAAACAUAAUGUUUCCUGUCCAAUGUAAUGUGCACCGGAAAAGAGAUUUAAAGAUGGGCUUAAAGAUUACCGUAAAAGCUGUGGCAUAGAUGGGGGCGGUUCAACCGUAAGGCAAUUUAGGCAAUUGUCUGUGGCGCCAUCCUGUGGGGGGCGCCAUUGAGGCACCUCCGCCCAGGCGUGGCCUUCUCACCUUCGUG
rnacentral:lncRNA from 1 species